AUUGAACGCUAGCGGCAGGCUUAACACAUGCAAGUCGAACGAGUGGCGGACGGGUGAGUAAUGCAUGGGAACAUAGCUUAUGGAGGGGGAUAAAUACUGGAAACUGUAGCUAAUACCGCGUACCAUAGGAUGAGCCCAAUUGGGAUUAGGUAGUUGGUGAGGUAAAGGCUCACCAAGCCGACGAUCUGUAGCUGGUCUGAGAGGAUGACCAGCCACAGUGGGAAUGAGAAACGGCCCAGACUCCUACGGUAGGCAGCAUGGGGGAAUUGUGAACAAUGGGCGAAAGCCUGAUGCAGCCAUGCCGCGUGUAUGAAGAAGGCCUGAGGGUUGUAAAGUACUUUCAGCUGGGAGGCGUUACCCGCAGAAGAAGCACCGGCUAACUAAGUGCCAGCAGCCGCGGUAAUUC
rnacentral:rRNA from 1 species